CUCUCUAAGUUUGGUACAUAAAUGUCCUAUCCAGUCGCUAGGACAAAGGGAAAUCUUGGGGGUGGUGUUCGGAAAGGGGUUUUGCGCUGUGGCCAGAGGGGAGCGAAAUAGCCCCAGCAAGAAAUCUGCAGUCCUGGGAGCGAGAGGUUGGAAAAUUCAACUCUGCAAGCCUGGCAUUGUUAGCACAGGGGGUGCUGCCAGAGUCCCCUCACCUCCAACAACGUCAGAGGAGGGAGAAAAGGACUGGACAGGAGCAUGGUGAAGGGGACAGGGAAGAGAAGCCAAGCAGUUAGACACCCAACUUGGAGAGGAGAGGCAGGGUCCUGCCAGGACCCGGGACACUCAAGGAUCCUGAGAGGAGCAAACUAAGAUGAUAUCAGAAAGGAUACUGGCUCCAGAUCACACAAAGGCUUAAGAUGACCGGACUUCAAAUAUAUAACUCUGGCCAUGAU